CGCCUGAUACUUUCGUCUCAACCU
rnacentral:miRNA from 1 species